rnacentral:rRNA from 1 species
AAAUUGAAGAGUUUGAUCAUGGCUCAGAUUGAACGCUGGCGGCAGGCCUAACACAUGCAAGUCGAACGGUAACAGGAAGAAGCUUGCUUCUUUGCUGACGAGUGGCGGACGGGUGAGUAAUGUCUGGGAAACUGCCUGAUGGAGGGGGAUAACUACUGGAAACGGUAGCUAAUACCGCAUAAUGUCGCAAGACCAAAGAGGGGGACCUU